CAUUGAAAAUCAUUGCCAGUGUUCAAAAUUGGGAGAAUAUGGAAAUCUGAGUUUGCUGGUUUGUUGGUUGUCAGGCUUGCUCCUUUACUUGCUAAGUGUUUGCACAUUGGGGCAUUUAAUAUGUUUUUGUGUAGAAGGUACUUUGAGAACAGUCUGUUGCUUUUGGAACUUGCUUGAUAUUUUAAAGCGUUGAUUCUAUUUAUGUAUGUCUGAAUGUAUGUAUUUAGGUAUGUAUGUAUGAAAUCAAUGGGUUUUCAUAUAUGGUUGGUGGAAUUUGUGUUAGCUUUCCUAAGGUUUUCCAAUGGGAUUCAUUUUGAUCUUGGUUGGGAUGGCGUUAGCAGUUGUGUCAGGUCAUAGGAAAGAUGAAAUUUGAGAGAUGAUCACACUUGAUGAAAUAAUGGGGCAGCCAAUAUCUAACCUGUGUAUGGAGGAAAGAGAAGCCCAUCAAGGGGAUUGGGAGGGAUCCAUUAGUCACAUUCCAGGAAGAAAUCUGUAGAGUCUGAGGUCCAUGGAAGGAAAACGGUGAGUGGGAUAUCCUGGGGGAGAAAGAGUAUGAAAACACAAGAACCCACACUCCUUGGAUUGGCAGUUCUGUGAGAUGUGAAAACUAUGUUGUGCCUUCUGUAAGCAACUCAUUUUUUUCUUUUUUUCUGAAUGAUGGGAGCAGUAUCUAUGUAGCUGUCUCAAGGGUGUAGUCCUAUCUUGAGCAGUAUCAUGAUUUUAUUUCUUGGUUUCUUUAUUCGUGGUAGACAGUGGUCAACUUCCUGAGGGAUGGAAACAUGGUUUCAUUCAUCUUUGAAAUGUGGACUGUGUUUGGCACAAGGGGUCUGUAAAACAACACUUAUGGUGAAUGAAUGACUGACUGAUGGUUGCUGAUUGAGGCCCCAAGUUCACAAAUGAAAACAGAAAAACAACUUUUGCUGUAGGGCUAGAACCAUUGAUCAAGUGCCUUGGCUCCUUGGUUGGCUUUGACCAUGGAGUAGAGUGACCCUUGUAGACUCUGUUUGAUGGGUAUGUGGAGCACUUGAUGGUACCACAAGGUGACUGACUGCACUGUCGUUGGUGAUUCAGCCUUGCCCUUUCUAGGCUUUCCUUGAAUGAAACCUGGUAGAUGCUUGGAGGGCAAGUGUCUGAAUAUGUGUUUCAAAUGUUGAGUUUUGUUGAACCCCAAUGCUAGGGACCAUUUCCAGGGAUUUAGCUGUCCAGGUUGUUUUGGUGCUGAAGUUCAGGAUACAGGCCCAAGGCAGCAGGAGUCUUAGACCCUGGUUCCACCCCCUGUGAGCUUUACUUUUGUGCUCUAAGACCCACACCCUUGCUGGCUGGCUGUGCUGCCUGUGGGCAUAUGACUCCUGCUGAGUGGACCCAAAAGUGUGGUUGGUCACAGUGCUUGCUUGCUGUCUGCCUGCCCAGGAGCUGGAGCUGGAGGUGUGAGCCAGAGAGGAGUCAAGCCACACUCUCCCAUCUCUCAGUGGGCCCUGGGCAUGGCCCCAGCUGGGGAUCCAGGAUGCUGACCAUCCCUCACCUAUCUUCCCCAAGCCCCAGCUGGCAGCAAGGCAUUGUCGAUCAGGGCAGGUCACCAAGGUAAUCGGGUGCCUCCAUAGUUCACUCUGUGUGGCAGUCCUCUCCUCCUGUAGGCGAUGCCCUGUUGGGUUUGGGCCCACUUCCUUCUCUCCUUCUGUUUCCUCCACCUUCCUGUUGCCUCCUCUAGCCUCGGGUCCCUCCUCUGGCUGGCAGGGAUCUCUCUCAGAUCCUCCAGGGUGGCAGUCAGGCAGCUGUUAGUGCUGUCACCUCCCCAGUGGGCCUGGCCUUUGGCCUCCUGUCCUCAGGAGCCCCACUGGGUGCCUCCCGCCUGGUCCCAGGUCAGGUGAGGUCCCUUUGUGGAAGUUAGUCAGCCUCUGGUCCUCUCUUUUGCCCUCAUCUGUUUGCUCCCUUUUCCCAAUGGGGCUGUAGGCGUUUCGGCUGGACCAAUGUCAAGAUGUGUUUGGCCAUUUUGGUUUCCUGGAGUCCCACGGCUCAGAGGAGCCCCCCUGGAUGCUGACCUCGGAUGGGGUGGUGCCUGCUUGGCAGUAGGCUCUGCCGCAGUGUGGCUCAGGGCACCCCACAGCCCAGGCUGGACUUAACCUGGCCAGGGGCAACCUUCAUGUCCCUGGGUUCACGGGGCUGUAUGUGGGAUGGGCAGGCUGGGCCCUACGAGAGCCUGAAGCCCCUUUUUCUCAUUUUCCUGAUCAGGAAUCCUCCAUGGAUCCUCUUCCUCCCUGGAUGCUGUGGUCCUAUUCUCAUCAUUGUCAGUUCACAAUCUACUUGUCUCUCUGCACAUCAGUUCAUGAAGUAGGUUGUCUCCACUUUCCUCAGGAGCCCAUAUCCAGGUCAGGCUGUCAUUUCUCUGGGAAGCUGGUGUCCCCAAAGAGGGUCAGUGAGAAGCAUUCCCAGCGUGGGCUCGAAUUUGGGAAGGUCUGGACCUCUGAGGCUGGUGCUUGAUGCUUGGUUGUUUGUCUGGCUUGCUUCCUCACUGGCUCUGUGUUUGGAGAUUGGAGCAUUUAGGAAGUUUGUUCCUAGAUGGCACGUUUGGAAAAGUCUGUUGCUUUUGGAACUUGCUUACUAUUUUCCAACAUUGCUUCUAUUUAUGUGUUUCUGUGUGUCUGUCUAUGUAUAUGCAGGUAUGGAAUAAGUGUGUUUUCAUAUGUUUUGGGUGAUAUUUGGGUUAGCUUUCCUAAGGUAUUCCAGUGGGGUGCAUUUUGGUCUUGGUUGGGAUGGAGGUAGGGCUUGGGUUAGGUCGUCUGAAAGAGGGAUAGAGGAGAGGGGAUGGCCAUUGAAGAAAGAAUGUGGUGGCCCACAUCUAAUCUGUGUGCAGACAAAGAGAGGUCCAUAAAGUUGAUUGGGAGGCAUCAUUCAGUCACCUUUCAGCAAUAAUUCAAGAUAUCCUGAGGUCCAUGCAAGGAAAAUGGUCAGUGAGAGGUUCUGGGGGAGAGAGAGUGUGAAAAAUUUGAAUCCAUGCUCUUUGGGAUCAGCAGGUCUGAUACAGGAGAAAAAAUCCUUUGUGCCCUCUAUAAGCAACAGCUUUUUUUUCUGACCUUCAGUAGCAGUAUCUUUGUAGCUGUCUCAGAUGUUUAGUCCUAUCUUGAGGUGCAUUGUGCGUGAGUGUGUGUGUGUGUGUGUGUGUGUGUGUGUGUGUGUGUGUUUGUAUGAAUGUAUGUCUGUGUGUGCAAUUUAUUCAGUGGUCAGCAUCCCGAGGGAAAGAACCAUGGUUUUUAUUCAUCUUUCAAUUAAGGUCGCUGUUUGGCAUGUGUCAUCAGUAACAUACUUACUCUGACUGAAUGAAUUACUGAUGGUUGCUGGUUAAGUCCCCAGAUACCUCAGUGAAAUAAGAAAGAUAGUAAAAGCUGUUGGGCUAGAAUCAUUGAUCAAGUGCAUUGGCUCCUUGGUUGGCUUUGGCAGUAGAGUAGUGUGAACCAUGUUGAAUCCAUUUGUUUGAUGGUUAUGUGGAGAUCUUGAUGGUACCAUAAGGUGACUGACUUCACUGUAAUUGGUGAUUCAGCCUUGCCCUUCCUUGGAUUUCCUUGAAUGAAACCUGGUAGAUGAUCAGAGGGCAAGAGUCCUAAAUUGUGUUGCAAAUGAUGAGGUUGGGUGAGCACCAUUUCUAUCACCAUUUUCAAGGACUAGCUGUCCAUAUGUUGUUGGUGGUGAAGUAAAGGAUACAGACCCAAGGUUAUCUGAUUUUGUGCAUGUAGAAUAGGACCAAAAAUAUUGUUUUUGAGCAGAUAGAAAGCAGUUCACGUAUGGCAUAGCAGGUUCAGGAUCUGGAGUUGUCAUAUCCAUGGUUUGGAUUCCUAGUGUGGUUCAUAUAUUUUGGAUUUUAUUCACACUCUUAGGGCCAUACCCAUGGCACCUGGAUGGUCCAAGACUGUGGGUGGAAUCAAAGCUGCAACUGCGAGCAGAUACUACAGGGACAAAAACGCUAGAUCUGAGCCGUGUCCGUUUCCCAAAUCACAAGUCACGGCAAUGUUAAAUCCUCAGCCAACUUAGCGAUGCCAUGUAUUGACACCAUGCCAUCAUAGUUACUAUUCAGAUUCCCUUCUGCUGAGCCAUGACGGAAACUUCUGUGGCAUAGGUUUGAAAGACUUCUGGACUGGGAUCUACCAUAUGCCAUGGGUUCUACCAAACAGAAACAUUCCUAAGUUGAGAGACAUUGGGGGAAUGAUCCUGCUUCUCAUGUAACCCACUUUUAGAGACUUGGUUUGGAGCAUGGGUUCCAGAGGCAUGCUUUCUGUCGUCUCAUUCAGGCCUUGCCACCCACAGGUUACCUGUUCCCAGGACAGGGUCACGGCCCCCAGCCUAAUGUUCCCCAUGCGACCAACGGGAACCAUUGCAACACACAGAUGGCUGCUAUGAGAAGUGCGUGGGUUUGUGUGCAUUUCCACAUGUGACCACAGGACCUGGAGCCUCUGGUGCAUCCCUGGUAGUGACUGGGACACAAGCUAGGGUGUUUACUCCCAUGCCUUCUUGACUCUCCUUUGAGGAGUGAUCCCAGCCAGAACGUCAUGGAACCCAUCCUUGGUGGGCCAAAUAUGCUUGUUCUCAAAACAGGUUAUGAGGUAUUCCUGCUGUGGAAUAGUGGAUUCACAAUCAGGCGUGUCUCUGCAGCAUUGCUGGUUCUAUCCCUGGACGAGAGCAGGGGGUCCAGGAUCCAGCAUUUCUCUCGAUAACUCUAGCCUAGGCUGCACAUUUGGCUCAGACACUACCUCGGGCCCCAAAUACUGCAUGCUGCAGGUACAGCCAAUAAAGGAAAAAAUGCCUAGUCUCCUCAGGCUCUGGCUGUCAACUACAGAGUGGUUUUCUUUGAAAGGACACUGAACUUCUCCUGGGGAAAAGGAAUAUAUAUGACAUCCUAACAUAUAUAUGGUAUACUGUAUUCAUUGACUUUUAACUUUAGGUACAGGCAUAUGUGUAUCCAUGCUUCUCUGUGAUCUAAUAAAUCUACACACACACACACACACACACACACACACACACACACACACACACGCGCGCGCGCACACACACACUUAAAUAUAUGAUCAUCAAUCUGAUAGAGCAUAACAUCAUCUCACCAGAGAAAGGCACAUCUUCUCCUUGAGGAGUCACUGUGAGCCUUCUCCAUUUCCCUCCAAGGAUUCCACUCUAAUCUAUUUCAUGAGCUUUCUUCUCAGAUGCCAGAGCUGUGAGAGGAAGGUGGAUGCUGGCUGUGGUGGGGGUGAGGGAAGGAAUGGGACAGGCUGAUAGACACAGGGGACCCCACCCUGGAGAGCUCUGCUCUCCUUUCAGGUCUGCACUUGAGAAGGGCCUCUGAGGUAGGCCUAGUGGUGUUGGAUCCUCCUGGAGCACAGUGUGCCCUGGUGUCCUGAUCUAGGCCCUGGAGUCGAGGUGGAAUUCCCCAGGUCCAGGCAUUUCUCAAAACCGCCUUCCUCUGUCCAUGUGGGCCCUGCCUAUUUCCCACCUCCUCUCUGUUCUUCAUGAUGGGCUGAGGGGUUCACCAAGCCUGACAAGGUCCCAGCCCCACAGAGCCGCAGGCUGCCAUCCCGUUGGAGGUGACCUGUCACAACAGACCCUCAAGCCAUCAGAAAAGAUCCACAGGGAUGAUGUUGGCCAGCAUGUGUGCACUGAAGGCCCUGUGUGCUAGGGAGGGCCUCCGUGGUGGAGAACUACCCCUUUCAGCAUGGUGGCCAGAGAAGGCUUCCUGGAGGAGGUGGCCUUUGAGCUGAGGCUGGAUGAUACAGCUCCAGCCAUGGGAAGAGGCCAGCAACCAGAACGGCCAGUGCAGGUGCCCCAAGGAGGGAAGAAGCCAGGGUUGGAGUUCUCCACAGAAGCCCCCGGAUGCUCAGAGCCAGAUUGGGGAAGGCCUCCCUGGUGCCAAGGGAAAGGGAGGGCAAGGCAUCAGAAGGCUUUGGGGUUGAGGGGUUUGUUUGGCCUUCUUUUGCAUCUGUAAGACAAAUCAAACCAACCACAAAACAAAACAAUAACACAGGGACAAUGCAGGAGGGGAAAGAUGAUGUUCCUUUGACCAGUUCCUCCCAAUUCCUCUCCUAUUCAAGGAAGCUUUGUGAGUUGAAAGGAUCAAUGUGAGACAGCCACAAUGGUUUAGUGCAAAGGGGACCUUUGAUUGGAAUCAAAAUACAGUCCUUAUCCACGUUCAAUGUGAGGGCCCAGGAACCUGAAAUGCAGGUAUUCCUGAGAAUGAUACGAAAUAAAUCCCUUGUUGAGCCAAUCCUGAUGAGGCACGGUGGUGCCAGCAAAUGUAACUUGGAGGAGGGAGAGCAUCAGUUAGAGAGAGCAGUUGGACUGGAAAGAGAGAAAUCCACUCUCCUUGUCUAGGGAGAUGUCACAGGUGUAGUUCUCGGUGUGGCUCUGUGUGUUGAGACCCAUCUGGUCUGAGCAUGGCAUCCAACCUGGGUGGGACUUGGGGAGCCUGAGCUCUCUUGGUGCAAACUUCCUGCUUCCUGUGGAAGCUGAGGAGAAAGGGGGUACCCUGGGAAUUGCAGGCAUAUGUGGGCCGUGUGUGGAAAAGUAGGUGCCACAGCCCUUCUCGGGAAAGCCUGGAGCUCAACCUGGAGGUGGGCCAGCCUUUGUUUCAUGGCAGCAUUUCCCCUUCUGAGCUCCAGGAGCUGUCUCUCAGCCCACAGAGCUGCCAUCCCUCUUGUGUGGGCUCUAGCCUCAUAGAAGAGGAUCUCAUUCUGGUAAGAGACAGUGGUCCUGGCCACCUCUCUGCCCAUGUCUUCCACUAUCUUCUUGUAGACUCUGCCCUGCUAAUGCAGAGAGCCCAAGCGUCUGAACACCUGGGGGCAUUUCUUCUGUAAGGUGAGGCCACGAGCCUCCUCCUCAAUGGAUCUUCUCAGGAGUUUCUUGAGGUGCUCUUCAUGUAAUUGGGACAGCAUCCCGAUGUGGAGCUGAAGCUCCUGAAUCUCCCUUUCCAGCUGAGAGUUCUCUGCCUGUAAGGAUGUGCACUCAGUUUGUAGACUUUGUCCUUGUCCCGCAAGCUCUCCAUUCAUCUGAUGGUCUUCAGGCAGUUCUCUGGAGAUGGCCUUGAUGUAUUCUUCAUGCUUUUGUAAGGGCACUUUGCAGUGCCAAGCAUGCAUGAGAAGCUUCCUUUGGCAUUCUGGCAGCCGUGCUGGUGGGCAGUCAUUGUCCGCAAGUCAUGUUCCUUCUGCUUCCCAAGGCUCAGGCCAAUGGAUUGUCUUCAGGGUGCUUUCAGCCAGAGAUGGCAGCUGGAUCCCUUUCUCCUCCAGGACCCACACCUCUGUGUGUAUAAACAUUCACACACAUAUUUUUGUUCCCUCAGGACCCACAUUCUCUGCUUCCAUCCCUCUGUUUCCUGGCAGAGCUUUUGCAGACAUGGCUGAAGAUGAAUGUUUUCCUUCAGCCCAAAUAUGGGUUUCUCCUGGAGGUGGUGGACCUUCUCCUGGGAUGUUUCCAAGGUGUUUUAGGCCUUGAACCCUUGGGCUUUUUAGGCUUCUGAGUUGGCUCCAAGGGAUAGGAUCUGUCCUUGGACAUGAGCCCACAUCAGCCAGAGACAGCACAGGUGAGAGGGCUCCCUCUUCCGUCCUUUGCCAAGGAAGCUUUCCCUGUUGGGAGAUGACAUGUUGGGGAUGUGAUGAAGUGCCGCCAAGCAUGGGCUUUGCAAGUUGGGGGUGCUGGCCUAUGCAGCGGGUGACUGGAGGGCUUCAAGCCCUCGGGCCAUGCAUACAAUUUUCCCCCAGCCUUUCUGUAGACUUCAGCCCAGCCAGAACCCAUCUCAGCCAGCUCUCUUCCUCUUCUGAAAUGAUGCCCACUCUGGACAACCAAGACCAGAAGAGAGCCCAGAGUGGGGUGUCCCAGGGAAGCUCCAGGAAACAUAGAACUCCUCUCAAGGUGUCCAAUACCACCAGGAGAGUGUCCACAGGAAAUCCAGGGCUGGCAGCCAAAACAUUUUGGUAGCAGGCAGCAGGCCCUCUCCGGCCCCACAGGCACCACAGCUCUGCCUCUGACUAUGGGCCAAAACUGACGCCACGGAACUCUGCUGCCCAAACACGCAGGUGCCUGGCAACCAGGGCAGAUGGCCUUUAGGGCUGGGGGAGGGGGCGGCCCACCAGGUUCUAGAGAUGGCUCUGCCCCUUGCUCCGUGAACUCUCCUGAGCACUUCCUUUGGGGUGAGCAAAGGGUGGAUUGCCACCUGGAGCUUGAUGGGGCCACGUGCCAACCUAGAAGGUCAGGCAGUGCCCUGGUUCUGCUGGGUGUCAGGAUCCCAUUUGGACAAGGAUCUGGCUGGUGGCAAUUCAGUCGACCUCAGAAUUUGUCCACCAGUAGGGUGCAUUAGGUUUUCCUAAAACUCAUACAUUCGUAUAUUCCCACUUCAAAAAGUGCAAAAGGGUUGGUCAUCCAAACGGAGUUCCCCUUGUGGCUCAACAGUAACGGACCGAAGUCCUCUCCAUGAGGAAGUGGGUUUGAUCCCUGGCCUUGCUCAGUGGGAGUUUGCAGAUGCGUCUCCGAUCCUGUGUGGCAUGGUUGUGGCAUUGACUUAGGUGGGCAAGUGUAGCUCCAAACUGACCCCUAGCCUAGGUGCUUCCCCAUGCCAUGGCUGAGGACCUUAAAAGUCAAAAUAAAUGCUUUUUUAAAAAGAUACACUUGCCCUCCUAUUGGUAUUGAGGCAGUGAAGUAAGGAAUCUUUGCAUCUUUGCCCAGGGCAUAAGUUAGUAAGUGAAUUUUAUCAGAAGAAUGUUAUCCACUGAAAUGCUAUCAUCAUGUACAUAUGGAUGUACAAUGUGGCCUUUAUUGGUCAACAUAGAAAGAAGAGAAUGACCCACUCCCUGUUAGUUCUUGAAAAAGUUGUGGCUUGUGCAAAGAAAUAUGGCUCCAAAGAAUGGGAAGAUCCUCCACCAGGACCAGAGAGCACAGUUGCUCAUGGAAGGGCUAAGGGUCAGUCUGCACGGGUGCUCUGUGACCUCUGUGUGGAUGGCAAAAGAGGUGGACAGAGACAUGGAUGGACUCAUGCAUAAGCCUUAGAACUGAGUUGUGGUGGGGGUGAGGAAAAGGAAUAGAGAUGUUAGCUAUGGACAUGUUUUCCUACGAAACUAGUGACAGUGGGCAUGUCAAUGGGUUCCAAUUUAAAAAAAAAAAAGAGGAAACCCAGGGUGCCUGUUGUCCAAAAGACUGGUGGAGAGGCUGGUUGUACCAUUUAAAUGGGUUGAUUUUUCAGAAGACGACUCAUUAAGGAUGAGCCAAUGAUUUGACAUUCUUGUCCUUUUUCUUUUCACAGGCAAGGGAUCCAAAUAGGUCAAAGGUCCAAAAAUGGAGUUUGAACCAAAAGUCCCUGCCUGCCAGAACUGAAUUCCACUGGUACCAUUUUUCUUGGCAUCUUCCUAGGUAGAGGCCAUUUUCAGCAUGUUUAAGGAAAACCAUAUGUGUUCAGUUUACAGAAGUAUAGGAAAAGGAAUAAAUGUAUUCCUAUCUUUCCUUUCACACAUAUGGUAUUCUAGUCCUCCAAAUGGUUUUUUGGUUUUUGCUUGAUAGCCUCUAAAGACAAGGACUGCUCCAUGACAAAAGAAUUAGGCAAACUUGCUAACCGCUGGCAGGCCGACUUGUGUGUCAGUGCCGAUGGAGCUUGGAAUAUAUGUGGCCUUGGUCAGAGGACACCCAGGGGACGAAUGUCUGUGGCUGGUGGUACACAUCAUCUCAAAAAGACUUGCAUUGCAGUGGACAGAUCCAGACUUUUCCACAUGUCAGGUCUGGGUAACCAUGCAAGCACCACCACAUGCUUCCUUGAUGUAUGACAUCAUGCAUAUUCACCUGGCUGAGCCUCAGUAACACUGUCUGCAAAACAGGGACAGUAACACUCUCAAUCUCCCAUGGCCUUGCAUGAGGAUUUGACUACAGAAAUUCCAGGGACAGCAAUGCAUGAUCUGAGCCAUGUGCAUGACCAAAUAAGACGUGGCAGCAAUGCUGGAUCCUCAGGAUACUGAACAAUGCCAAGGAAUGACUAACCAUGCCCUCGUGGUUACUAGACAGUGUACCUUUGGCUGAUCCAUGAGGGGAAUUCCUGUGGCACAGGUUUGGAAGAUAUCUGGAGUGGGAUCUUCCAGAUGACGUCUGUCGGCGAAAACACAGACCACCCCAAGAUGUGAGGCAGCGGGUAUUAUCCCAAUUCUCGGGUUCCACACUUGGAGAGACUUGGUUAGGAGAGUGGGGUCCAGAGACAGGCUUUCUGUCAUCUCCUUCGGGCCUUUCCAACCACCGGUUCCACGAUCCCAGGACAGGGUCCCUUCCCCCAGCCUCAGGUUCCCCAUGUGACCCAUGGGACCCAUUGGAAUACACAGAUGGCUUUGGGGCCAGCAGUCAAACCCAUUUGGUGGCAGGAAGCAGGACCUUCCCAGCACCACAGGCACCACAGCUCUGCCUCUGACCAUGGGCCCCAGUGGACCCCAUGGAACUCUGCCACCCAAACUCACAGGUGCAUGGCAACCAGGGCAGAUGGCCAUUAGGGCUGAGGGAGUGGGAGGCCCACCAGGUUCUAGAAGGCCCUGCUCUCUGAUUCCUGUGCUUCCUGCUCAGGGAUCUCACCAGAGCCCUGCCUUUGGGGAGAGGCAAUGGCUGAUGGAAGCCUGGAGGUGGAUGUGUCAAUGGGCCAUCCUCGAUGGUCAGGCAGUGCCUUGGCUCAUCUGGGCAUCAUUCUCCAAUCUGGAAAAUGAUCUAGCUGUUGGAAAGACAGUCAACCUUAGACUUAGCCCCCUGUAGUGUGCAUUUUGUUUUUCAAGAAAAUCAUAUAUUCAUAAAAUCCACUUUCAUAAAAUCAAAAUCCAAGGCCAUCAAAGCAGAGGGCCCCUUGUGGCUCAGCAGUAAUGGACCCGAGGAAUAUCCAUGAGGAAGCGGGUUUAAUACCUGGCCUUGCUCAGUGGGUGAAGGAUCCAUGAUCUCUGGAUUAGAAGGUAGACCCAUCGUGAAUCACGGUGGACCAAGCCCAUGGUGGUGGCAUAGGCCAGCGUAUUUAGCUCUGAUGGACAGCCACCCUAGGAACUUCUCCAUGCCAUGGGUGGGGCCCCCAAAAUCAAGAUAAAAUCUUUUUUAAAAUAAAAAGACACAGCUGUAAUCCUGUUAUUAUUGAGGCAUUGACGUAACCAUUCUUUGCAUCUUUGCACAGGGCAUAUGAUAUUACAUGAAUUUUAUCAGAAGAAAGAUAUCCAUUGAAAUCCUAUCACCGUGUACACAGGUAUCUACCAUGUGGCCUUUAUUUCUCAUCAGAGAAAGAUGAGAAAGACCCACUCCCCGCUAGCUCUUGAAAUUGUUGUGGUUCAUGCAAUGAAAUAGUAUUCAAAGGAAGGGAAAAAUCCUCCACCAGGAACAGAGAACCCCAUUGCUCCUGGAAAGGUGAAGCGUCAAUCUGCACGGCAGCUCUGUAUCUUCUGUGUGGCUUCUGAAUGAGGUGGGCAGAGAGAUGGAUGGGCUCAUGCAUCAGCGUUAUCACGCAGGUGAGUCACGGCGAGUGAAGCAAGAGAGACGUUGGGUAUGGACAGGUUUUCAUGAGUGACCAUGGGCAUGUCAAUGGUUUCCAUUUGAAAAAGAAAUCCCUAUUGCCUGUUGUGCAAAAGAGAAGUUUGCUGUGCCAUUUACCUGGUUGACUUUUCAGAAGAUGCUUCAUGAGAGUUUUAAUUUUUAGUCUCAUUUCCUAGAUGGAGAUGUUGUUUUGGCCUAUCUAAGGUCAUGCCUAUGUCAUAAGUUUAAGGAGAUCUAGGAAGUGGUCUAAUAAACGCUUUCAUUUCCUUUCCCACCAAUGGUAGUCUCAUCAUCCAACUGGCUUUUGGAUUUUGGCUUGAUAGCCUCUAAUGCAGGGUACUGUUCCAUAAACCAAAGAAUGAGGCAGCCCAGAAGUGAAAGCUUGCUUGAGUUUUAGGCCACCUGCCGAACCGCUGGCAGGCAGACUUGUGUGUAUAUGCCGAUGGAGCUUGGACUACAGGUGGCCUUGGUUAGAGGAUACCCAGGGGAUGAAGGGCUGUGGCUGGGGGUACCCCUCAGCUCAAACUGCCUUGCAUGGCAAUGGCAAGAUCCUGACUUUUCCCCUUCUCAGGUUUGGGGACCCAUUCAAGCUCCACCACCUGCUCCCUUGAUGCAUGACAUCAUGCACAUUCACCCUGCUGAGCCUCAGUCUGCCUGUCUGCACAAUGGGGACAGUCACAAGCUCAGCCUCCCAGGGGCUUGCAUGAGAACAUGACUCCAGACCAUACAGGGACAGCCGUGCCAGAUCUGAGCUAUGUCCAUGAACCACAUAGCAGAUCCCAGCAAUGCUGGAUCCAUAGCCUACUGAACGAUGCCAAGGAAUGAAUCCAUGCCGUCGUGGUAACUAGUCAGUUUCCCUUCUGCGGAGCCAUGAUGGGAACGCUUGUGUCACAGGUGUGGAAGUCCUCUAGACUGUCAUAUUCCAGAUGACGUGUGUCAGCCAAAUAACCGACCACCCCAUGUUGGAAGACGACAUGGAGAGACUUGGUUUGGAUUUUGGGGUCCAGAGACUGGUCUUCUGUCAUCUCCUUCAGGCCUUUUCAUCCACUAGUUCCAUUAUCCCAGGACAGGGUCCCUUCCCACAGCCUCAGAUUCCCCCAUGUGACCUGUGGGAACCACUGGAAUACACAGAUGGCUUUGGGGCCGGCAGCCCAAUCCAUUUGCGUGUAGGAAGCAGGCCCUUCCCAGCACCACAGGCACCACAGCUCUGCCUCUGACCAUGGGCCCCAGUGGACCCCAUGGAACUCUCCCCCCCAACUCACAGGUACCUCUCAUCCAGAUGGCCAUUAUGGCUUGAAGCCCCUCAUCUCUGAUUCCUGUGCUUCCUCCUCAGGGACCUCUCUGGAGCACUGCAUUUGGGGAGAGGCAAUGUCUGAUGGAACCCUGGAGUUGGUUGUGCAAUGGCCCACCUAGAUGGUCUGCUAGUGCCCUUGUUCAUCUGGGCAUCAUUUGUCUCAUCUGGAAAAUGAUCUCACUGGUGGAAAGACAUUCAACGUUAAGUUUUCCACCUCUAGAGUGCAUCUUUUUUUUUCAAGAUAAUCUUAUAUUCAUAAAUUUCAUUUUUGAAAUUCCAGAAAUGGAAUUCAGCAAAGCAGAGGGUCCCUUGUGGCUCAGCAGUAAUGGACCUAAUGAAUGUCCAUGAGGAAGCGGGUUUGAUUCCUGGCCUUGCUCAUUGUGUGAAGGAUCCGGGAGCUGGGAUUAGCUUCUUUACCCAUCACGAAUCACAGCGGGCCAUCUGGAAAACCAUCUGUCUGGUGGCAAGACAGCCAACCUACAUGUUGUUGUUCACAUGUAGGGUGCAUUUUUUUUUCAAGAAAAUCAUACUUUCAUUAAAUACAGUUUUGAGAAAUACAAAAGGGGUAGUUAUCAAAGCAGAGGUCCCCUCGUGGCUCAGCAGUAAUGGACCCAAGGAAUGUCCAUGAGGAAGCGGGUUUGAUCCCUUGCCUUAAUCAGUGGGUAAAGGAUCCGUGAGCUUUGGAUUAAGUUGCAGAACCAUCACGGAUCACGGGGCCAAAGGGAAUGACUGGGGCAUAGGGCAGCAUGUUUAGCUCUGAUUGACUUCCAGUCUAGGAAAUCUUCCUUGCCAAGAGAGGGGCCCCAAAAUAAAGAAAAAUCUACUUUUAAAAAAUAUAUAUACAGGUAUACUUCUGUUAUUACUGAGGCAUUGAAUUAAUGAAUCUUUGCAUCUUUACCAAGGGCAUAUGUUAUUACAUGUAUUUUAUUUGAAGAAAUGUAUCUGCUGAAAUAUUAUCACUAUGUACACAGGGAUCUACUGUGUGGCCUUUAUUUCUCAUCAGAGAAAGAUGAGAAAAACCCACUCCCUGCUAGCUCUUGAAAUCAUUGUGGUUCAUGCAGAGAAAUAAUGGGCCAAAGAAGGGGAAAAUUCUCCACCAGGAAAAGAGAACACCAUUGCUCCUGGAAAGGUGAAGUGUCAAUUAGCACAAGUGCCCUGUAUCUUCUGUGUGGCUUGUGAAGGAGGUGUGCAGAGUGAUGGAUGGACUCAUGCAAAAGAAAUAUCACUGAGGUGAAUCACGGUGGGUGAAAAAGAGAGACGUUGGGUAUGGACAGGUUUUCAUACAAAAUGAGUGACCAUGGGCAUGUCAAUGUUUUCCAUUUAAAAAAGAAAUCCCUGUUGCCUGUCGUGCGAAAGACUUGUGGAGAGGCUUGCUGUGCCAUUUACCUGGUUGACUUUUCAGAAGAUGCUUCAUGAGAGUUUUAAUUUUUAGUCUCAUUUCCUAGAUAGAGAUGUUGUUUUGGCCUAUCUAAGGACAUGCCUAUGUCAUAAAUUUAAGGAGGUCUAGGAAGUGAUCUAAUAAACGCUUUCAUUUCCUUUCCCACCAAUGGUAGUCUCAUCCUCCAAUUGGCUUUUUGUUUUGGCUUGAUAACCUCUAAUGAAAAGGACCGUUCAAUAACCAAAGAAUGACACAGCCCAGAACCGAAAGUAGGCUUGGAUUUUAGGCCACAUGUUGUACCUCUGGCAGGCCGACAUGUGUGUAUAUGCAGAUGAAGCUUGGACUCCAGGUGGCCUUGGUUAGAGGACACCCAGGCGGCAAAGGGCUGUUGCUGGGUUACCUGUCAGUUCUCGGUAACCAUCCAAGCACCACCACCUGCUUCCUGGAUAUAAGAUAUCACACAUGUUCACCUGGCUGAGCCUCCACAUCCCUAUCUGUACAACGCCGACAGUAAGACUCUCAGCCUCCCUGGGGCUUGCAUGAGAAUAUGACUACAGACAAUACAGGGACAACAAUGCCAGGUCUGAGCUGUGUACAUGCCCCAAAUAACAGGUCCCAGCAAUGCUGGAUCCUCACCAUACUGAAUGAUGCCACGGAUUGACCCCAUGCUGUCAUGGUGACUAGUCAGUUUCCCUUCAGCAGAGCCAUGAUCGAAACUCUUGUGGCACAGCUCUGCCUCUGACCAUGGGCCCCAACGGACCCCAUGGAACUCUACCACCCAAACACACAGGUGCCCAGCCAGCAGGGCAGAUGGCCGUCAGGGCUGAGGGAGCGGGAGGCCCACCAGGUUCUAGAAGGCCCUUCUCUCUGAUUCCUGUGCUUCCUGCUCAGGGAUCUCACCGGAGCCCUGCCUUUGGGGAGAGCCAAGGGCUGAUGGAAGCCUGAAGCUGGAUGUGGCAACAGGGCAACCUAGAUGGUCAGGCAGUGCCCUUGCUAAUUUGGGUUUCAUUUUUCCAAUCUGGAAUAUGAUCUGUCUGGUGGCAAGACAGUCAAACUUAGAGGUGGUCCACAUAUAGGGAGCAAUUAUUUUUCUACAGGAAAUUCAUACAUUCAUCAAAUCUACUUUCAGAAAUUCCAGAAGUGGAGGUCAUAAAAGCAGAGUGCCCCUUGUGGCUAGCAGUAAUGGACCCAAGGAAUGUCUGUGAGGAAGCAGAUUUGAUCCCUGGCCUUGCUCAUUGGUUUAAGGAUCCGUCAACUGUGGAUUAGAUCUUAGAACAACCUCGGAUCACGGUUGGCCAUGCCAAUGCGGUGGGGUAGGCCAGCAUGUGUAGCUCUGAUUGACCAACAGCCUAGGAACAUCUCCAUGCCAAGGAUGGGGCCCCCAUAAUCAAGAUAAUAUCCACUUUUUCAGAAAAAAUUUACACCUUGCCUCCUGUUAUUAUUUAGGCAUUGAAGUAACGAAUCUUUGCAUCUUUGCCCAGGAUGUACGUUACUAUAUGAAUUUUAUCUGAAGAAUGAUAUUCAUUGAAAUCCUAUCACCUUGUACACAGGGAUCUACUGUGUGCCCUUUAUUUCUCCUCAGAUAAAGAAAAGAAAGACCCACUCCCUGCUAUCUCUUGAAAUUAUUGUGGUUCAUGCAAUGAAAUGAUGCACAAAAGAAUUGGAAAAUCCUCAACCAGGAAAGGAGAACACCAUUGCUCCUGGAAAGAGAAAGAUGCGAAAAACCCACUCCCUGCUAGCUCUUGAAAUCGUUGUGGUUCAUGCAAUGAAAUAAUGCACAAAGGAUGGGGAAAAUCCACCACCAGGAACAGAGAACACCAUUGCUCCUGGAAAGGUGAAGUGUCAAUUAGCACGGGUGCUCUGUAUCUUCUGUGUGGCAUCUGAAAGAGGUGGGCAGAGAGAUGGAUGGGCUCAUGCAUCAGCAUUAUCCCCAAGGUGAGUUGUGGUGAGUGAAAAAAGAGAGGCUUUAGGUAUGGACAGGUUAUCAUAGAGAAUUCAUGACCAUGGGCAUGUCAAUGAUUUCCAUUUAAAAAAGAAAUCCCUGUUGCCUGUUGUGUGAAAGACUUGUGGAGAGGCUUGCUGUGCCAUUUACCUGGUUGAUUUUUCAGAAGAUGAUUCAUGAAAAAAAUUAAUUUUUAGUUUCAUUUCCUAGAUAGAGAUGUCGUUUGGGCCUAUUGUAGGAAAUACCUAUGUCAUAAGUUUAAGGAGAGCUAGGAAGUGGACUCAUAUAUGCUUUCAUUUCCUUUCCCACCAAUGGUAGUCUCGUCCUCCAACCGGCAUUUUUGUUUUGGCUUGAUAACCCCUAAAGAAAAGGACUGUUCCAUAAUCAAAGAACGUCGCAGCACAGAACCAAAAAAAAAAAAAAAAAAAAGCAUGUGUGGGGUUUAGGCAACCUGGCAAAGUGCUGGCAGGCUGACUUGUAUGUAUGUGCCAAGGGAGCUUGGACUCCAGGUGGCCUUGGUCAGAGGACACCCAGGGGAUGAAGGGCUGUGGCUGGGGGUACCCCUUAGCUCAAAUGGCCUUGCAAGGCAAUGGCAAGAUCCAGACAUUUCCACCUGUCAGGGCUCAGUACAAAUCCAAGCACCACCACCUGCUCCCUUGAUGUAUGACAUCAUGUAGGAUCACCUGGCUGAGCCACAGUAUCCAAGUCUGCACAACGGGACAGUCACACUCUCGGCCUCCCAGGGGCUUGCCUGAGAACAUGACUCCAGAAAUACAGGGAGAGCAAUGCCAGAUCUGAGCCGUGUCCAUGACCCGAGUAACAGGGCACACCAAUGUGGGAUCCUCAGGCUACUUAACGAUGCCAAGGCAUGACCCCAUGCCCUCAUGGUGACUAGUCAGUAUCCCUUCUGCUGAGCCAUGAUGGGAACUCCUGUGGCACAAGAUUGGGAGACCUCAGGACUGGGAUCUUCCAGAUGACAUGUUUUGGCCAAAACACAGACCACCCCAAGUUGUGAGGCAGCGGGGAUGAUCCUGCUUCUCUGCUACCCCACAUGGAGAGACUUGGUUUGGAGGGUGGGGUCCAGAGACAGAUCUCCUGUCAUCUCCAUCUGGCCUUGCCAACCACUGGUUCCAUGAUCCCAGGACAGGGUCCCUUCCCCCAGCCUCAGGUUCCCCAUGCGACCCAUGGGAACCAUUGGAAUACACAGACGGCUAUGUGUCUAGUAACCAAACCCAUUUGGUGGCAGGAAGCAGGCCCUUCCCUGCACCACAGGCACCACAGCUCUACCUGUGACCAUGGGCCCCAGUUGACCCCACGGACUCUGCCACUCAACACACAGUUGCCUGUCAACCAGGGAAAGUUCCCGUUAGGGUGGAUAGAGUGGGAGGUCCACCAGUUUCUAUAAGUCCCUGCUCCCUUAUUCCUGUCCUUCCUGCUCAGGUAUCUCACCCAACCCCUUCCUUUGGGCCGAGCCAAAGCCUGGUGUAAGCCUGGCCUGGAUGUGGCUACAGGCCAAACUUGGUUGUCAGGCAUUGCCCUGUCUCAUCUGGGUGUCAUUAUUCCCAUCUGGGAAACGAUCUGGCUGGUGUCAAAACAGUCAACUUUACACCUUUUCCACCUUUAAUUUGCAUCUCUCUUUUUUUUCAAGAAUCUCAUUCGUUCAUAAUAUCUUCUUUCAAAAAUUAGAGAAUGGGUGUUCAUCAAAGCUGAGGGCCCCUUAUCGCUCAGCAUUAAUGAACUCAAGGAAUGUCCAUGAGGAUGCGAAUUUGAUCCCUGGCCUUGCUCAGGGGGUUAAGGAUUCGUGAGCUGUGGAUUAGGUUGUAGGCCCUUCAUGGAUCGUGUGUGCUCAAUGCCAUAGCUGUUGCAUAUGCCAGCAUGUGAAGAACUGACUCACCACCAGCCAAGGAACUUCUCCAUGCCAUGGGUGGGUCCACUAAAAUCAAGGUAAAAUCGUGUUCAUUGCAUCACUAUUCACAAUAGCCAGGACAUGGAAACAAUCCAAAUGUCCAUCAAGAGAGGAUUGGAUUCUGAAGCUGUGGUAUAUAUACACAAUGGAAUAUACUCAGCCAUAAAAAAGAAUGACAUAAUGUCAUUUGCAGCAACAUGGAUAAAACUAGAGAAUCCAAUCUCCACCACCUGCUUCAUUGAUGUAUGACAUCAUGCAUGUUCACCUUACUGAGCCUCAGUCUGCCUGUCUGAACAAUGGGGACAGUCGCACUCUCAGCCUCCCAGGGGCUUGCAUGACAACAUGACUCCAGACAGUACAGGAUCAGCAAUGCCAGAUCUGAGCCGUGAUCAUGACCCAAAUAAGAGGUCCCGGCAAUGCUGGAUCCUCAGUCUACUGAAUGAUGUCAAGGAAUGACCACAUGCUCUCGUGCUGACUAGGCAGUUUCCCUUCUGCUGAGCCAUGAUGGGAACUCCUGUGGCACAGGUUUGGAAGACCUCAGGACUGGGAUCUUCCGGAUCACUGGGAUCGUCCCUGUGACCCAUGGGAACCAUUGGAAUACACAGACGGCUUUGGGGCCGGCAGCCAAACCCAUUUAGUGGCAGGAGGCAGGACCUUCCCAGCACCACAGGCACCACAGAUCUGCCUCUGACCAUGGGCCCCAACGGACCCCAUGGAACUCUGCCACCCAAACAUACAGGUGCCUGGCAACCAGGGCAGAUGGCUAUUAGGGCUGAGGGAAUGGGAGGCCCACCAGGUUCUAGAAGGUCCUUCUCUCUGAUUCCUGUGCUUCCUGCUCAGGGAUCUCGCCAGAGCCCUGCCUUUGGGGAGAGCCAAGGGCUGAUGGAAGCCUGGAGUUGGAUUUGUGAAUUUGCCAACCUAGAUGGUCAGUCAGUGCCCUGGCUCAUCUGUGAAUCAAUUUUCCCAUCUGGAAAAUGAUCUGGUUUGUGGCAAGAGAGUCAACAUUCGACAUUGCCACCAGGAGGGUCAUCUUUUUUUUCUUUCAAGAAAAUCAUACAUUCUUAAAAUCCACAUUCAAAAAUUAGAGAAUGGGAGGUCAUCAAAGCAGAGGUCCCCUUGUGGCACAGCAGUAAUGGAUCCAAGUAAUGUCCAUAAGGAAGCGGGUUUGAUCCCUGGCCAUGCUCAGUGGGUUAAGGAUCUUUGAGUUUUGGAUUAGGUGGUAGACUCACCAUGCAUCACGGAUGGCUAAUGCCAUGUCUGUUGGUUAGGCAAGCAUGAAUAGCUCUGAUUGAAAACCAGCCUAGGAACUUCUCCAUGCCAUAGGUGGGCCCCCAAAUAAAAUAUAAUCUACUUUAAAAAAAAAAAAAAAGAUAGACAUGAACUCCUGUAAUUAUUGAGGUAUUGAAGUAACGAAUAUUUGCAUCUUUGCCUAGGGCAUAAGUUAAUACAUGAAUUUUUAUUAGAAGAAUGAUAUCCAUUGAAAUCCUAUCACCGUGUACAGAGGGAUCUACCAUGUGGUCUUUAUUACUCAUCAGAGAAUGAAGAGAAAGACACACUCCCCACUAGCUCUUGAAAGAGAUGUAAUUAAUGUAAUGAAAUAAUGUUCAAAAGAAAAGGACAAUCCUCCACCAGGAACAGAGAAGACCAUUGCUCCUGGAAGGGUGAAGUGUCAGUGUGCACGGGUCUCUGUAUCCUUUGUGUGGGUUCUGAAGGAUGUGGGCAGAGAGAUGGAUGGCCUAGUGCAUAAGCAUUAUCAUCAAUGUGAGUCACGGUGACUGACACAAGAGAGGCGUUAGGAAUGGAUAUGUAUUCAUACAAAAUUAGUCAUCAUGGGCAUGUCAAUGGUUUCCAUUUAAAAAAAGAAAUCAGUGUUUCCUGUUGUGCAAAAGGCUUCUGGAGAGCCUUGCUGUGCCAUUUACCUGGUUGUUUUUCAGAAGAAGAUGCAUGAAAGAAGAGCCAAUGGUUUUACAUUCUUGCACAUUUUUUUUUCCUCUGAAAAUAGAGCUGCAUAGUUCAAUUGUCCAAAAACAGAGUUGGAAGACAGAAGUCCUGCCUACCAGCACUGAGUAGAUCUGGUACCAUUUUUAGUCACAUUUCCUAGAUAGAGAUGUCAUUUUGACCUAUUGAAGAACAUACAUAUGUCAUAAGAUUAAGGAAGUCUAGUAAUCAGUCUAAUAUAUGCUUUCAUUUCCUUUCCAAAAAAUGCUAUUCUCGUCCUCCAACCAGCAUUUGGGUGUUGGCUUGAUAACCUCUAUGGAAAAAAACUGUUCCAUAAUCAAAGAAUGAUGCAGCCCAGAACAAAAACCAUGCUAUGGUUUAGCUCAUCAGAGAAAGAAGAGAAUCACUCCCCACCAGCUUUUUAAAUACUUGUGGUUCAUGCAAUGAAAUAAUGCUCAAAAGAAGGGGAACAUCCUCCAUAAGGAAGAGAGAAGACCAUUGCUCCUGGAAAAGUGAGGUGUCCAUCUGCACGGGGGCUCUGUAUCUUCUCUGUGGCUUCUAAAGGAGGUGGGCAGAGAGGUGGAUGGACCAAUGCAUAAGCAUUAUCACUGAGGGUAUACUUUAGUACAUGAAUUUUAUCAGAAGAAUGAUAUCCAUUGAAAUCCUAUCACCGUGUACACAAGGAUCUACUCUGUGGCCUUUAUUUCUCAUGAGAUGAAGAAGAGAAAGACACACUCCCCGUCAGCUCUUUAAAUAGGUGUGGUUAAUACUAAGAAAUAAUGCACAAAAGAAUGGGAAAAUCCUCCACCAGUAAAGGAGAACACCAUUGCUCCUGGAAAGGCAAGGUUUCAACCUGCACUGGUGCUCUGUAUCUUUUGUGUGGCUUCUGAAGGAAGUGGGCAUAGAGAUGGAUGGAUUCAUGCAUAAGCAUUAUCACUGAGUUGUGUCACGGUGAGUGAAAGAAAAGAGGCUUUAGGUAUGGACAUGUUUUCAUACAAUAUUAGUCACCAUGGGCACGUCAAAUUUUCCAUUUCAAAAAAAAAAAAAUCCCUGUGGCCUGUUGUUCAAAAGACUUGCAAAGAGGCUUGCUGUGCCACUUACCUGGUUGAUUCUUCAGAAGAUGCAUGAAAGAAGAGCCAAUGAUUUUGCAUUCUUGACCUAUUUCUUUUCACGGGCAAUAGAGCCACAUAUUUCAAUGGUCCAAAUCUGAGUUUGAAGACAAAAGCCCUACCUGCCAGCACUGAGUAUCACUGGUACCAUUUUUGGUCACAUUUCCUAGAUAGAGAUAUCGUUCAGGCCUAUUGAAGGAAAAACCUAUGUCAUAAGAUUAAUGAGGUCUAGGAAGUGGUCUAAUAUAUGCUUUCAUUUCAUUUCCCACCAAUGGUAGUCUCUUCCUCCAACUGGCUAUUUGGUGUUGGCUUGAUAACCUCUAAUGUAGAGGACUGUUCUAUAAUAAAAGAAUGACACCUCCCAGAACUGAACUCAUGCUUGGGGUUUAAGUAACCUGGGGAACUACUGGCAGGCCGACUUGUGUGUACAUGCCAAUGAAGCUUGGACUCCAGGGGACCUUGGUCAAAGGACAACCAGAGGAUGAAGUAUUGUGGCUGGUGGUACCCCUCACCUCAAAAGGCCUUGCGUUGCAAUGACAAGUUCUAGACUUUUCCAUCUGUCAGGUCUGGGUACCCAUCCAUGAUCCACCACCUGGUUCCUUAAUGUAUGCCAUCAUGCAUAUUCACCUGGCUGAGCCUCAGUAUCACUGUCUGCACAAUGGGGACAGUAACAGUCUAAGCUUACCAGCAGCUUGCAUGAGAACAUGAAUACAGACAAUACAGGGACAGUGAUGCCAGAUCUGAGCCAUGUCCAUGACCCAAAUAACAGGGCACAGCAAUGCUGGAUUCUCAGCCUACUGAAUGAUACCAAGGAAUGACCCCAUGCGCUUGUGCUGACUAGGCAGUUUCCCUUCGGCUGAGCCAUGGUGGGAACUCCUGUGGCACAGGAUUGGAAGACCUCUGGACUGUGAUCUUCCAGAUGAAGUGUGCUGGAGAAAACACAGACCACCCCAAGUUGGGACGAAGUGGGGAGUAUCCUGCUUCAAUGGUAGCCCACAUUGAGGGACUUGGUUUGGAGUGUGGGGUCCAGAGACAGGCCUUCUGUCAUCUCCUUAUGGCCUUGCCAACCACUGGUUCCAUGAUCCCAGGACAGGGUCACUCCCCCAGCCUCAGGUUCCCCAUGCGACCCAUGGGACCCAUUGGAAAACACAAGUGGCUUUGGGGCCGGCAGCCAAACCCAUUUGGUGGUGGGAAGCACUCAUUUCCCAGCACCACAGGCACCACAGCUCCUCCUCUGACCAUGGGCCCCAACAGACCCCAUGGAACUCUGCCACCCAAACACACAGGUGCCUGGCAACCAGGGAGAUGGCUGUUAGGGCAGAGGGAGUGGGAGGCCCACCAGGUUCUAGAAGGCCCUUCUCUCUGAUUCCUGUGCUCUUUUGCAUGGUUCUCACUGGAACACUACCUUUGGGGAGAGGCAAUGGCUGAUGGAAGCUUGGAGUUGGAUAUGGCAGCAGGCAACCUCAAUGGUCAGGCAGUAUCCUGGCUCAUCUGGGUGUCAUUUUUCAUAUCUGGAAAACGAUCUGGAAGGUGGCAAGACAAUCAACCUUAGACCUUGUCCACCAAACUGUGCAGAUUUCCUUUUUUUCAAAAAUUCACAUAUUCAUAAAAUCCAUUUUCAAAAAUUCCUGAAGGGGAGGUCAUCAAAUCACAGGGCCACUUGUGGCUCAGCAGUAAUGGACCCAAGGAAUGUCCAUGAGGAAUUGGGUUUGAUCCCUGGCCUUUCUCAUUGGGUUAAGGAUCCAUGAUCUGUGGAUAAGUUGUUGGCCAAUCUCAGAUCAUCGGUGGCCAAGGAGAUGUCUGUGGCAUAUGUCAGCAUGUGCAUUUUGAUUGACCACCAGCCUAGGAAAUUCUCCAUGCUGUGGGUGUGGACAUCAAAAUCAAGAUAAAAUAUACUUUUUUUUUUUAAAAAAAAAGGUACAUCUGGCCUCCUGUUAUUAUUGAGGCAUUGCAGUAACUAGUCAUCGCAUCUUUGGCCAGGGCAUACAUUAGUACAUGAAUUUUAUCAGAAGAAUGAUAUCCAUUGAAAUCCUAUCACAAUGUACAGAGGGAUCUACCCUGUGUCCUUUAUAGCUCAUCAGAGAAAGAAGAGAAUCACUCCCCACCAGCUUUUUAAAUACUUGUGGUUCAUGCAAUGAAAUAAUGCUCAAAAGAAGGGGAACAUCCUCCAUAAGGAAGAGAGAAGACCAUUGCUCCUGGAAAAGUGAGGUGUCCAUCUGCACGGGGGCUCUGUAUCUUCUCUGUGGCUUCUAAAGGAGGUGGGCAGAGAGGUGGAUGGACCAAUGCAUAAGCAUUAUCACUGAGGGUAUACUUUAGUACAUGAAUUUUAUCAGAAGAAUGAUAUCCAUUGAAAUCCUAUCACCGUGUACACAAGGAUCUACUCUGUGGCCUUUAUUUCUCAUGAGAUGAAGAAGAGAAAGACACACUCCCCGUCAGCUCUUUAAAUAGGUGUGGUUAAUACUAAGAAAUAAUGCACAAAAGAAUGGGAAAAUCCUCCACCAGUAAAGGAGAACACCAUUGCUCCUGGAAAGGCAAGGUUUCAACCUGCACUGGUGCUCUGUAUCUUUUGUGUGGCUUCUGAAGGAAGUGGGCAUAGAGAUGGAUGGAUUCAUGCAUAAGCAUUAUCACUGAGUUGUGUCACGGUGAGUGAAAGAAAAGAGGCUUUAGGUAUGGACAUGUUUUCAUACAAUAUUAGUCACCAUGGGCACGUCAAAUUUUCCAUUUCAAAAAAAAAAAAAUCCCUGUGGCCUGUUGUUCAAAAGACUUGCAAAGAGGCUUGCUGUGCCACUUACCUGGUUGAUUCUUCAGAAGAUGCAUGAAAGAAGAGCCAAUGAUUUUGCAUUCUUGACCUAUUUCUUUUCACGGGCAAUAGAGCCACAUAUUUCAAUGGUCCAAAUCUGAGUUUGAAGACAAAAGCCCUACCUGCCAGCACUGAGUAUCACUGGUACCAUUUUUGGUCACAUUUCCUAGAUAGAGAUAUCGUUCAGGCCUAUUGAAGGAAAAACCUAUGUCAUAAGAUUAAUGAGGUCUAGGAAGUGGUCUAAUAUAUGCUUUCAUUUCAUUUCCCACCAAUGGUAGUCUCUUCCUCCAACUGGCUAUUUGGUGUUGGCUUGAUAACCUCUAAUGUAGAGGACUGUUCUAUAAUAAAAGAAUGACACCUCCCAGAACUGAACUCAUGCUUGGGGUUUAAGUAACCUGGGGAACUACUGGCAGGCCGACUUGUGUGUACAUGCCAAUGAAGCUUGGACUCCAGGGGACCUUGGUCAAAGGACAACCAGAGGAUGAAGUAUUGUGGCUGGUGGUACCCCUCACCUCAAAAGGCCUUGCGUUGCAAUGACAAGUUCUAGACUUUUCCAUCUGUCAGGUCUGGGUACCCAUCCAUGAUCCACCACCUGGUUCCUUAAUGUAUGCCAUCAUGCAUAUUCACCUGGCUGAGCCUCAGUAUCACUGUCUGCACAAUGGGGACAGUAACAGUCUAAGCUUACCAGCAGCUUGCAUGAGAACAUGACUCUAGACAAUACAGGAUCAGCAAUGCCAGAUCUGAGCCAUGUCCAUGACCCAAAUAACAGGUCCCAGCAAUGCUGGAUCCUCAGCCUACUGAACAAUGCCACAGAAUGUACACAUGCCUUCAUGGUUACUACUCAGUUUCCCUUCUGCGGAGCCAUGAUAGGAACGCCUGUAGGCACAGCUUUGCUAGACCUCUGGACUGGGAUUUUCCAGAUGACAUUUGUCAGCCAAAGCACAGACCACCCUUAUUUGGAAGGAAGCGGGGAUUGUCCUUCUUCUCGAGUACUCCACGUUGAGAGACUUGGUUUGAAGUGUCAGGUCCAGAGAAAGGCCUUCUGUCAUCUCCUUCGGGCCUUUCCAACCACCGGUUCCAUGAUCCCAGGACAGGGUCCCUUCCCCCAGCCUCAGGUUCCCCAUGCGACCCGUGGGACCCAUUGGAACACACAAGUGGCUUUGGGGCCAGCAGUCAAACCCAUUUGGUGGCAGGAAGCAGGACCUUCCCAGCACCACAGGCACCACAGCUCUGCCUCUGACCAUGGGCCCCAGUGGACCCCAUGGGACUCUGCCACCCAAACUCACAGGUGCAUGGCAACCAGGGCAGAUGGCCAUUAGGGCUGAGGGAGUGGGAGGCCCACCAGGUUCUAGAAGGCCCUGCUCUCUGAUUCCUGUGCUUCCUGCUCAGGGAUCUCACCAGAGCCCUGCCUUUGGGGAGAGGCAAUGGCUGAUCGAAGCCUGGAGGUGAAUGUGUCAAUGGGCCAUCCUCGAUGGUCAGGCAGUGCCUUGGCUCAUCUGGGCAUCAUUCUCCAAUCUGGAAAACGAUCUAGCUGUUGGAAAGACAGUCAACCUUAGACUUAGCCCCCUGUAGUGUGCAUUUUGUUUUUCAAGAAAAUCAUAUAUUCAUAAAAUCCACUUUCAUAAAAUCAAAAUCCAAGGCCAUCAAAGCAGAGGGCCCCUUGUGGCUCAGCAGUAAUGGACCCGAGGAAUAUCCAUGAGGAAGCGGGUUUAAUACCUGGCCUUGCUCAGUGGGCAAAGGAUCAGUGAGCUGUGGAUUAGGUGGUACAUCCAUCUCUGAUCACGGGGGGCCAAGUCCAGAAUGGUGGCAGAGGCGAUCUUGUGUAUCUCUGAUCGACCACCAGCCUAGAACUUCUCCAUGCCAUGCGUGGAGAUCCCAAAAUCAAUAUAAAAUCUACAUUUUUUUUAAAAAGUUACACCUUGCCAUUUGUUACUAUUGAGUCAUUGAAAUAAAGAAUCUUUUCAUCUUUGCCCAGGAAAUACAUUAGUACAUGAAUUUUAUCAGAAGAAAGAUAUCCAUUGAAAUCCUAUCACCGUGUAGUAAGACAUCUACCAAAUGGCCUUCAUUUCUCUUCACACUCCCGCUGACUGUUGAAGACUUGUGGUUUAUGCAAUGAAAUAAUGCUGAAAAGAAGGGAAAAAUCCUCCACCAGGAACAGAGAACACCAUUGCUCCUGGAAAGGUGAAGUGUCAAUCUGCACGGGUGCUCUGUAUCUUCUGUGUGGCUUAUGAAACAGGUGGGCAGAGUGAUGGAUGGACUCAUGCAUCAGCAUUAUCCCUGAGGGAUCUACCAUGUGGCCAUUAUUUCUCAUCAGAGAAAGAAGUGAAAGACCCACUCCCUGAUAGCUCUUUAAAGAGUUGUGGUUCAUGCAAUGAAAUAAUGCUGAAAAGAAGGGGAAAAUCCUCCAUGAGGAACAUAGAACACCAUUGUUUCAGGAAAGGUGAAGUGUCAAUCUGCACAAGUGCUGUAUCUUCUGUGUGGCUUAUGAAACAGGUGGGCAGAGAGAUGGAUGGACUCAUGCAUAAGCAUUAUCACCGAGGUGAGUCACGGGAUCUACCAAAUGGCCUUUAUUUCUCAUCAGAGAAAGAAGAGAUAGACCCACUCCCCACUAGCUCUUGAAAUGCUUGUGGUUCAUGCAGUGAAGGAAUGCUCAAAAGAAGGGGAGAAUCCUCUGUCAGGAAUGGAGAACACGACUGCUCCUGGAAUGGUGAAGUGUCAAUCUGCAUGGUUGCUCUGUAUCCUCUUUGGGGCUUCUGAAAUUGGUGGGCAGAAUGAUGGUUGUUCUCAUAAAUAUGCAUUAUCACCAAGUCACGGUGAGUGAAACAAGAGAGUGUUAGGUAUGGACAUAUUUUCAUACAAAAUGAGUGACCAUGGGCAUGUCAAUUGUUUUCAAUUAAAAAAAGAACACCCUGUUGUCUGUUGUGUGAAAGACUUUUGGGGAGGCUUACUGUGCCAUUUAACUGGUUGACUUUUCAGAAGAAGAUGCAUGAAAGAUUAGCCAUUGUUUUUACAUUCUUGACAUUUUUCUUUUCUAGGGCAAUAGAUCCACAGAGUUCAAAGGUCCAAAAACGGAGUUUAAUGACAAAAGCCCCACCUGCCAGGACUGAGUAGCACUGGUAUGAUUUUUAGUCGCAUUUCCUAGAUAGAAAUGUCAUUUGGCCUAUUGAAGGAAAUGUGAAAUAUGUUCUAAGUUUAUGGAGGUCUAGGACAUGGUCUAAUAUGUGCUUUCAUUUCCUUUCCCAUCAAUGGUCGUCUCAUCCUCCAACCGGAUUUUUGGUAUUGUCCUGAUAACCUAUAAGGAAAAGGUCUGUUCCAUAUCAGGAAGUUCACAGGCUUGGACUUUCCAGGUGCCAUGGAUGUGGCCUUAAGAGGAUUCAAAGAAAUCCAAAUCCUAUUCACCACACUAGGAACCAGAGUCACAGCAGUGACAACAGUAGAUCCUGAACCUGCUGAGCCAUCAGGGAAUGGCUUGGUAUCUGCUGCAAGGCAAUAUUUUUGGUCCUAUUCGAGAUCCACAAAAUCAGUAACCCUGGAGGUGGGUUCCUGCCCUCAGGGAGUGAGAAGGCCCUCUGUGGGAUUAUGAUAGAUGCUCACGUUUGGGAAGCAUAGCUGGAGUCCUUCCUAAGAGACACUGAUUUCUGAAGGGAAAAAACCUUACAGCUUCAGAGCCAUGGACAUGCUCAGUUAUGAACCCGGCUCAACACAGUUCAUGCAGGGCCAGCAACCAUCUCCCCAAGGGGCACUGCAAUGUGGCCUGAGGGGUCAAUAUGAGAAGCAAGGGGGAAAACAAUGGGACACUCUGAAGCCACCCUUCCCCCAAGUCACCCUCUGCCUCUAGGAAGAAUGAAGCUCGUUGCAAGACAGGUGUGUCCAGGACUACUUUGCUGGCCAAAAGUGAACUGCUUUGCUCUCCACAUGGACUUCUCUUUCUUUGGCCACCCAUGCCUGUGGCCUGUGAAAGGUCCCAGGCCACAGCUGGGGCAUAGGCCACAGCCACACCAAGCCACACCUGUGACCUACAUCGCUGCUUGAGGCAAUGCUGGAUCC